UACGGAGGGGGCUAGCGUUGUUCGGAAUUACUGGGCGUAAAGCGCACGUAGGCGGCUUUGCAAGUUAGAGGUGAAAGCCCGGGGCUCAACUCCGGAACUGCCUUUAAAACUGCAUCGCUAGAAUUGUGGAGAGGUAAGUGGAAUUCCGAGUGUAGAGGUGAAAUUCGUAGAUAUCGGGAGGAACACCAGUGGCGAAGGCGGCUACCUGGCACAUAACUGACGCUGAUACGCGAAAGCGUGGGGAGCGAACCGG
rnacentral:rRNA from 1 species